AAAGGGUUCUACAAGGAAGGUUUAUGAAAACCUUGAGAAUAAAAAUGCAGAAUAAUCAUAUCCUUAUAGAUUGUAUCAAGACGACAGAAAUUGUAUGGGAGAUUUGUAUCCAUUAUAUUCAGUAGCCUGCAUGUGUCCAAAUCACAAAUGAAAUGAUGUGGGCAAAUAUAAAUUAAAAUUGAAUGUUGCAGAAGUGGUUGAGGAACUUCACCAGGAUACAUUAAUGUACAAACUGAAAACUGAUGAAAGGCUUCUGAAGAGAGAUUUGCUAGGAAAAAUAAAAAGAUAUAUAAAUUUCAGUGAUGCUGAAGGAGAGGAAGGAUGUGAUGUCUUUCCCCAUCCGUCAUAAGGGUCAUGGCCAACACUCCUAUAACAAAAGGUUUUGAGAAGCCAUCUGCAGCUCACAACUAGAUGAGUGACACAAUCAGAUGUGCGUAUGCAAGAAAAAGCCUGGAGACAUUGAACUAAGAUCAAAUUUAAUGUAUUAAGUAUGGUAGAAAGAAGAGAGAAUGAAAAAUAAUGUUAACAAUCUAGGUGAGGAAUUGCUGAGGAGACAAAUUAAGGAAAUCCUGUGGAAGGAAAGAAGAAAGGAGGAAAGAGGAUUGGAUGGAAGAAUCUCCACUUCUCAGUAAUUUGUUUAUUUACUUUAUUAGUUUACAUCCAUGUGAUUGGCAUCUAAAUUAUUAUUUUAAAGUUAGAUGACUUUUGCUAAUAUCCUUGUAUUUAAAUUUUUAAAAAUACAUCUUUUUAUUCUUCUAA
rnacentral:lncRNA from 1 species